UCUACCUCUAUGAUAAUUAACUGC
rnacentral:piRNA from 1 species